CACAAUGCAGCCGAGCGGUAGAGUCUCUUCGGAGCCUUGAGAGCGGCGCAGGGGUGCGGACAGUGUGCAACCUGACUUUGUCUGGGGGAUAGCCUUUCGAAAGGAAGAUUAAUACCCCAUAAUAUAUUGAUUGGGUCAAUCGAUAUUGAAAACUCCGGUGGAUAGAGAUGGGCACGCGCAAGAUUAGAUAGUUGGUGAGGUAACGGCUCACCAAGUCUGCGAUCUUUAGGGGGCCUGACAGGGUGAUCCCCCACACUGGUACUGAGACACGGACCACACUCCUACGGGAGGCAGCCUGAGGAAUAUUGGACAAUGGGUGAGAGCCUGAUCCAGCCAU
rnacentral:rRNA from 1 species